AAAACUCUUCUCACUUCUCUCUUUCUUCUUGUUUCUCUCUCGUUCUAGCUGCUUCUUCUGCAAAACAGAAAAAAAUGGCGGUAACUUCUAGAAAACCAAGAGCACCAGUGCUCCGAUCUCUCUCACCAUCUCCUAGAUUUUGCAACAAUAAUUCCCACUCUCCAUCACCUUCUUAUUCUUCCUCUGGUUUCGCUUCUUCCAGUUCCAGUUUCACCUCUCGCUCCACCACCUUCUUUCACCGUGCCACUUCUCCGACACGUGUCAACUUAUGCGGUCCCUCCUCCGCGUCGGCCUCGUCCGUUCGGUUCUCCCUUGACCGGUCGAUUUCUCCGAACCGUUCCAUCUCGGUGGCACCUCGAACCGGUGCUCCGACGACCGUGAAGAGGCAGGGCCAGCAGAAGCGAACCUGCAUGUGUUCUCCCACUACGCACCCUGGCUCCUUCCGGUGCAGCCUCCACAAAGGAUUCUCCGCCUCAUCGCAUGCCGCGGCGGCGCCGUACUCGCCGAAUCGUCUCAACGCGCGUAGAUCCGCCAUGACGAACUCGCUCGUUAGGAUUCGAGGCGUGGAAGGAGAUCUCGUGAAGCGAGCUCUCUCGGCGCUUAUUAGACCUUCAUCGCAUCAGCAGCGGAGGAGAGGCGACUUCCACCCGAGGCCUAGCAGGCUCUCCGUCAUGUCCAAGGCCGAUGAGGAGUGAGAGGUGCUUUGAUCCUCCGAAAAUUUUGGCUGUGGAGCCUUCUGGUUUCUGAAAGGUGAAGUCAUCGAUUUAUCGAUAACUGCCAUGGACGUCGGAUGGACGGUCGCAGGAGGUAGCGGAUUCCGGUGAAAUGGCUCGGUCACGUUUCCGAAUUCCAAUCAAGGAGUAGUGAUGUGUAUAUACAUAAUGUAGAACAUUGAAUAUAACUGAUUUGAUGAGAUGGAUAUGCAUAAGGAUGAGGAUGUAGAAGUUGACGGUGACGCAUUUUCUAUAGGAGCAGCCGAUCACGAUGAGAUGAUGAUUAAUGAAUGGCGGUUUUGAAUACCAGUAUAUGAUAUACUCUAUUAGUCAUGGGACAAAAAAGGAAAAGGAAAAAAAAAAUUAAAUCAACAAAACGAAACAUAAACAUUUAAAUACCCUAAAUUGAUCACUGAUUCCAUGGAUAGAUCGCUCCAUGAAAAUCUAUGGAUGCUUAAACUAUCGGUUACCCCUUAAUUUCAGAGACGGAGAAGACGAUGUUUUAAAAUGAAAUUUCUCAUGAGUGAAAGAAAAAAAAAGGUUUUUAAUUGGAAUUUGAGAAAGAAAAAAAAAAGUCUCCCAUCCUCCACCACAAUCUCUCCGGCAAAUCCAGGACCAGCCACUGCCUCCUUCUGCAAAGCCAUCAGAUGGAAGGACAGGAGUGAAAAUAUUAUUGAUUGUUAUGGAUUUGUUCUGAAAUUGGAGGGAUUAAACGGAUAUAAUAUAAUAAUAUAUUUAUGUAUAAAAUAUAUGAUUUUUUUUAAUAUUUAUUAUUACAAAUGAGU